CCUACGAGAGGCAGCAGUGGGGGAUAUUGCACAAUGGGGGGAACCCUGAUGCAGCGACGCCGCGUGGGUGAAGAAGCGCCUCGGCGCGUAAAGCCCUGUCAGCAGGGAAGAAAAUGACGGUACCUGAAGAAGAAGCCCCGGCUAACUACGUGCCAGCAGCCGCGGUAAUACGGAGGGGGCAAGCGUUAUCCGGCUUUACUGGGUGGAAAGGGGGCGCAGACGGCGAUGCAAGCCAGGCGUGAAAGGCCAGGGCCCAACCCCGGGACUGCAGUUGGAACUGGGUGGCUGGAGUGCAGGAGGGGCAGGCGGAAUUCGUGGUGUAGCGGUGAAAUGCGUAGAUAUGAGGAGGAACCCCGGUGGCGAAGGCGGCCUGCUGGAGUGCAACUGACGUUGAGGCGCGAAAGCGUGGGGAGCGAACAGGAUUAGAUACCCCUGUAGUC
rnacentral:rRNA from 1 species